rnacentral:rRNA from 1 species
GAUGAACGCUGGCGGCGUGCCUAAUACAUGCAAGUCGAGCGAACAGACGAGGAGCUUGCUCCUCUGACGUUAGCGGCGGACGGGUGAGUAAUACGUGGAUAACCUACCUAUAAGACUGGGAUAACUUCGGGAAACCGGAGCUAAUACCGGAUAAUAUAUUGAACCGGAUGGUUCAAUAGUGAAAGACGGCUUUGCUGUCACUUAUAGAUGGAUCCGCGCCGCAUUAGCUAGUUGGUAAGGUAACGGCUUACCAAGGCAACGAUGCGUAGCCGGCCUGAGAGGGUGAUCGGCCACACUGGAACUGAGACACGGUCCAGACUCCUACGGGAGGCAGCAGUAGGGAAUCUUCCGCAAUGGGCGAAAGCCUGACGGAGCAACGCCGCGUGAGUGAUGAAGGUCUUCGGAUCGUAAAACUCUGUUAUUAGGGAAGAACAAAUGUGUAAGUAACUAUGCACGUCUUGACGGUACCUAAUCAGAAAGCCACGGCUAACUACGUG